rnacentral:rRNA from 1 species
CCCCAUGCCGAACUCAGAAGUGAAACGCCGUAGCGCCGAUGGUAGUGUGGGGUCUCCCCAUGCGAGAGUAGGGAACUGCCAGGCAU